rnacentral:tRNA from 1 species
GAGGGUAUAGCUCAGUGGUACAGUGCAUGCCUAGCAUGCAUGAGGUCCUGGGUUCGAUCCCCAGUACCUCCA